AGCGAACGCUGGCGGCAGGCUUAACACAUGCAAGUCGAGCGGGCAUAGCAAUAUGUCAGCGGCAGACGGGUGAGUAACGCGUGGGAACGUACCUUUUGGUUCGGAACAACACCGGGAAACUUGUGCUAAUACCGGAUAAGCCCUUACGGGGACAGAUUUAUCGCCGAAAGAUCGGCCCGCGUCUGAUUAGCUAGUUGGUGGGGUAAAGGCCCACCAAGGCGACGAUCAGUAGCUGGUCUGAGAGGGUGAUCAGCCACAUUGGGACUGAGACACGGCCCAAACUCCUACGGGAGGCAGCAGUGGGGAAUAUUGGACAAUGGGGGCAACCCUGAUCCAGCCAUGCCGCGUGAGUGAUGAAGGCCCUAGGGUUGUAAAGCUCUUUUGUGCGGGAAGAUAAUGACGGUACCGCAAGAAUAAGCCCCGGCUAACUACGUGCCAGCCGCCGCCGUAA
rnacentral:rRNA from 1 species